rnacentral:rRNA from 1 species
UACGUAGGGUGCAAGCGUUAAUCGGAAUUACUGGGCAUAAAGCGUGCGCAGGCGGUUAUGCAAGACAGAUGUGAAAUCCCCGGGCUUAACCUGGGAACUGCAUUUGUGACUGCAUCGCUGGAGUGCGGCAGAGGGGGAUGGAAUUCCGCGUGUAGCAGUGAAAUGCGUAGAUAUGCGGAGGAACACCGAUGGCGAAGGCAAUCCCCUGGGCCUGCACUGACGCUCAUGCACGAAAGCGUGGGGAGCAAACAGG